ACACACACUGAAGGUCAUAACACACACACACUGAAGGUCAUAACACACACACACUGAAGGUCAUAACACACACACACACA